rnacentral:rRNA from 1 species
GCGCACCAGUCGCGAAACCUUCACAAUGGGCGAAAGCCUGAUGAGGCUAUUUCAAGUGCCACCCGCUAAGGGUGGCUUUUCCCAAGUCUAAACAGCUUGGGGAAUAAGGGGGGGGCAAGCCUGGUGUCAGCCGCCGCGGUAAUACCAGCUCCCCGAGUGGUCGGGACGGUUAUUUGGCCUAAAGCAUCCGUAGCCGGUCCUGUCCGUCUUCCGUUAAAUCUAACGGCCCAACCGUUAGGCUGCGGAAGAUACCGCAGGACUAGGGGACGGGAGAGGUGGACGGUACUCCAGGGGUAGGGGUAAAAUCCUCUGAUCCUUGGAAGACCACCAGCGGCGAAGGCGGUCCACCAGAACGUGCUCGACGGUGAGGGAUGAAAGCUGGGGGAGCGAACCGGAUUAGAUACCCGUGUAGUCC